GACAGAGGUGGCAAGCGUUGUUCGGAUUCAUUGGGUGUAAAGGGUCCGUAGGUGGCCUAUUAAGUUCGGCGUGAAAUCCCAGAGCUCAACUCUGGAACUGCGUUGAAAACUAUUAGGCUUGAGUGCCGGAGAGGUUAGGGGAAUUCCAGGUGUAAGGGUGAAAUCUGUAGAUAUCUGGAGGAACACCAGUGGCGAAGGCGCCUAACUGGCCGGUUACUGACACUGAGGGACGAAAGCAAGGGGAGCAAACAGG
rnacentral:rRNA from 1 species